rnacentral:lncRNA from 1 species
GAACUAUGCACACUUAUGACACUAAAUGGCUUGUAACAAUUCUUAACAAUUAAUCUUUUUAUGUUUACCCUUGGGUUAUUACUUUCAUUCUUUACGUGUGUAAUGUUAGCUUUAUAAAAUGAAGAAUGCUUUACAAAUAUACAUUAGUUUGAAAAGUCAGAAUUGCAAGUCAAAAAUCCCACAGUUUCCCUUUUUUGUGUUUUAAAUAGCAACUGCAGAUAUUCAAAACAUAUGUUCUUUCAGUAGUUUUCUUUCAUCUACAAUAUUAUUGGCUUAAGUUGUAGACUCUAAUUGUUUCUACAGCAAUCAUCUUAUUUUUUUAAGCUACAUAAUUAGUUUUCCAUUUAUAUUAGAGUUUUAACCAAAAGGUAUUCUAUUGUUAGAUUUCAAAGUUACAUAUGAAAACUUUAUCCAACUUUUAAUAUACUUAUAAGUGAAUAUGUAAAGCUGAUUCAUACUACAAUGCUAUACUCUAUCUUUUAAGAUGUGCUAAGAAUGUGAAAGCUGAUUAUUAAUUAAUUAUAAUUAUAAUUAUAAUAAUUAAUUUCAUUCAUAUGUCUUAUUUUAGAAGUAUUCAAUAAUGUUAAGUAAAGUGUACAGUCUAAGUCUUUGUGUGAAACAUAUUUAUUUUUUCCAAAUAAUAGCACAUAUGUCAAUUCUAGCCUCUGUGAUAGAAUUUCAUAUAUAUGUAAACAUAUAGAUAUUAAACCCAGAAAAAUAUGUAUUUAUUAAGCAUAUAGAUUCUCUGCUACAUGUAGGUGAUAUGAAUAUUACAUUUGAAUCUUGUAUUUAUAUAUUCUAAUUCUAUUUUACUUUAAUGAAUACCUAAAGUGGUAUAAGAAAAGUAAAAUACAUUAUUUUACUUUAAUGGACAUUAUUAGCUUUUCAUAUAAGCAGCAGUAGUCUUAAUGUUGAUAACAGCUAUGCUAUUGCAUAAUUUAGACAAGCUUUUAAAAAUGACUUAUAGGUCAGUAUUCAUGUUUCAACCUGAAAUUCCUAUUCUUACUACUGAAGGUCAUAUAAUUUGCUGUGAGAUAGUAAUAAUUAUCCAAAAACUCAUUACAGUGUUUCUGAAGCAUGCAUGUUUUCUUUCUGUUUAUUUUUCCAAAGAAAAGCUCUCCUCAAAAAAAUUGUGGAGUCUCACUUAAGUGCAGAUAGAUUUUUUUUUUACCGUCUUAAGUGCUACAAAAAUGAUUCACAGAUUCAUGUUUAAUAGACCUGACACAAUAGUAUAGAGUAUAGAGAGAAUGGCCUUCAGUUUCUCUCAGACAAGGGAUUCAAUGAAUUUCCCUAGGCAAUUGCCAAAACUUUUCUUUAGAUAGCUAUAUAAACAAGGAUAAUCACAUUCCCCAUGAAACUUUGUUCUGGGAAGGCAAGGUAAUGAAAAUACCUUGCAGUGUCAGCAAUGAGGCAGAUACUGGUUUUGUGUUUGUUUGUUUGUUGUUUUUAAUUCUAAAGCAUAUUUUGCAUUCAGGAUCCAGCUUCUUUUAAGAAUUAUCCAAAAAUUUUUAUGAUUGUCAAAUAUGUACACUGAUUAGGCUUUUUCAUCGGAAUUAUAAACAAGACAUAAAAACAGACAGAUAUUUGGUCAUUAGCUAAGCAAACCACUAAAUCAAUCAUUAUUUGUUUUAAAAUUUUCUUCUUUUCUUUCAUGAAAUGUAUAAGGUGAAGCUUUUAUUUUAUAUUAAAUAAAAUGUGUCCAUCUCCUUAAGGGCAUAGAUUCUACACACACAAAAUGGACCGUUGACGAAGUAAUCACAUUUUAUUACUUGAAUCACAGGAUAAGUUGUAUUUCACAUACUUCCCUGGUCCACAGUGUUAAACUCAGUGUUUUCAGAAGUGGUGACAAGUUUCAUGAGUUUAGCAAGUCUGUCUUUGGAAGAGACCUAUCCUAUUUGUGGCUCUCAAUCCUAAGUAUCAUAGAUGGUGCAAUCGGAUUAGCCCCUGUUAGUUGGUGAGAACGAGCUUAAGGCAUGGCAUGAAAAUUGCCUGAAAUGUCUUUAAAAGUAGCUGUCCACCUAAUACUCUAUUACUUCCUCUGGGUUUCCCAUGAGACCCUGUAAUAGAUUCCAUUUCCACUAAUGCACUCAAAUAGAUUUUAAUGGCGUUAGGGAUCGGAGUCAGACCGAAAGGUGACCUCUAUCCAUUGCUAAAAGGAGAUCGAUACUGUGCUGGAUACUUCCCAGCUGUACCUCUCUUGUAAUGCCGGAGGUUCAGAGAGCUGGUCCUUUAGCCCCCUAUCCUGAAGCCCCACUGGGCUCAGAUCCAAAAAGAUCAGCUAGUUAUACAAAAGAGAAUAUGUCAGGUCAUUGUGUUUAACAAAGGACAACUCUUUGAGAUUUCUGCAGUGGUGCCAUGCUAGUAGCAUUUAUGAGUUUAUUGAGAGGUUGAAGAAAAUAAGUGCUCCAGAAAUAUUCAAAUAGCAGAGUUCAAGUUCAGUCAUCUUCCUGACUGAAUGUCGUCAAUUUUUUUUUCUGUUCUGUGAAAAUGAGCCAAUACAUCAUAUUCAAAUUAAGAAGGUUUUUUCCAUUGUGGAUUGCUAGGAGAGAUGAAGAUCAUUACUCCUACUUUCUUUGGGCUUGUUUACCCUGUAGUCCAGGUUUCUUUGAGAAAGGAGGGUAAGAAUUUAUCAGUCUUAGAUAUGCUUUGAAAAAUUCCACCCCCUUCAGAAUAUAAUCCUGAAGACUCAGCAAUCCCAACAGGUCCUAAUGGAAGCAGGGUAUAGUGACUCCAGACAGUAAAUCUUUACUGCAUUUAAGAGAGAUGGUGUAAAUAUAACUCAGUCUGGAAGUGCACAGCACUGGGAGCAGCAACUAUAUUUAGCUACUUUGCUUUAGAUGAAUUUAAAGUCCGUACACAUAGUAAGUACAUUAUAUGAUCUUCUUUUCUUCAGAGUAAUAUAUAUUUCAAAAUGGUUCAAAAGUCUAUGUGAAUCCCUAGUCAGAGACAUGUUUGUUUCCAUUGGACAAGGCUUGAUUCCUUUAAUAUUCUUGCCUCUCACUAGGCAGUAGAAUAAGACUAGAAUACUUCCAUGAAACCACCCAGACGUUUUCUUGCAUAACAAUGAAAUCAGAUUUACUUAUUUCUUCAGUCAACAUGUUGAAUAGAACACGAGGCAAGGAGACACAAGGAUAAAGAAAAUGCCAUUUCAGUGCUCAAGCACUCAUGCACGUGUGAAAGACGACCUAGAUUUCAAGAGACACCCUGAUAAGAUUUGUGGUACAAGAGUUCUGGUGUUGACUUGCAUUUGUGAGUUUUCAAAGUCUUUCUCAGGCUCCCCAUUUAACCUCAUGUUAAUCCUGAGAGUUUGUUAUGUCAUGAUUUUAUAGAUGAACCUCUAAACCCAGAAAUUAGCUCUACAUUUAAAUUCAGUUCAAAUAAAAAUAGUCUUCCUGUUAAGUAGGCAGAGCAGGUUUUAUAGAUGGUGACUCAUGGAGUUAUGGAAAUUAAGACAUUUGAUCAAGGUUACUAGGUGUGCUGUUGCCACAGGAUGACAUUAGAACCUGGGUUUUCUGUUUGACUCUAGGUAUUUUUUCUACCAUUCUAUAAUUCUCCUUGUUAACUUCUGACUGAAAUUUGAAAUCAUGCAAUAUUGGCCAUGAUAAGCUUACAAAAAACUUUAGAUAUCAACAUGAAAAUCAAGAAAGUUAUGUUAAUUUUCUUUAAGUGAGAAAUAAUAGCUCCUAGCUUUCUAUUUAAUCUCAUUUCUCCUAUUUUCUUUAAGACAAUACAUGGCAUCUGGUGAGAGAGACUUUGUUUUGAGAAGAAAUAAUCCCACAGGUCUUCUUUCUAUGACAUUCGUGAAAGUUCUUCAGAUUUUCUAAAAAUAUUAUGUUCCAUUUAUAUACUAAUCACUAAAACACAACAAAGGAUCCAUUUUCCCCUUUAAAUAUAUAUGCCAGUACCUGACUUUGAGAACCCACAGUACAAAAAUCCACAACCAUAAACGUGGUGUUUCAUGUUUUAAAAAGUGUUUCAUUUCAUAAAAGAAGGCUCGCUGCAGGAAUUCCUUCUUUAAAACGUUUAAUGAUCUGUAAGUAACUACUUAAAUUCAGUAAGAAUGGCUUAUUAUUUUGCAGGUAAAAUAUAGAAGGGAAACUUAAAGUGGAGGUGUUAGUACCUAUAAACAAUUGGUAAAAUCGGUCAAAUUGGAGUUGAAUGUAUAUAUGUGAGACAUAUAUAGGGCGUCCUUCUCAAUGCUUUAUACUACUUUAAUGAGAUAAAAUUUUAUUUACAAAAGUGAAAGGCAACAGUUCAAGGUCUUGAAGGGAAAUAGUAAUUUAUCCUUUCAAAAUCACAAAUGCAUAUUGGGAAUGCUUUAAGUAAUUUAAAGCUCCCUAGCUUUUACUUAAAUUCAUAAAUCAAAUUACUUUCAUCUGGGAGUACAACAUAAAUGGAAAUUUAACUUUUGAAUAAAAUAGGAAAAGGAGCCAAAUUUUUAUGUACCUUACCCAUUUAAAAACCUGCUCAUCCAAGCGUUCUGUACUAUGUUGGAAAUGGUUCAAUAAUUCUUAAAAAUCUUUAAGGAAGUUGGUUUUUAAAGUAGAUUUUUCUUUUAAGGACAAAUAUACUUACAUACAUUUGAAGAGAAUGAAAGGCCCAGUUUCAGAAGUAUGAAGAAAUAAAUGGCUGAUCCUAAUAAGAAUACUUGUAGUACAAUGAAAAACCACAGAGAAAAGGAAAGGGUUGGGGGAAAAUAAUAUCAGGAUGUCAUCAUGUCCUUUUAAAACAUUUAAUUAUUUGUUUACUCAUGAAGGUAACAUGCACAGAAUACAAGAAUUAAUAUUUUAAAAUGUAUGUGGUUUAAAACCUCCCUCCUAUUCGUCUUAAACUACAUAGAUGUCUCUCACAGGUAAUGAGGGGCAUUUAUUUCUUGUUCAUCUAUCAGAGCUUCUUUGAGCAUAAACAAACUAUUUUUUAAAAAUUUUCUAACUCUCAGAGUUCCCGUCAUGGCUCAGCAGUUAACGAACCUGACUGGCACCCAUGAGGACACAGGUUCGAUACCUGGCCUUGCUCAGUGGGUUAAGGAUCCAGCAUUGCCUUGAGCUGUGGUGUAGGUCACAGACAGCUCAGAUCUGGUGUUGCUGUGGCUGUGGCAUAGGCCAGCAGCUACAUCUCCGAUUCGACCCCUAGUCUGGGAACCUCCGUGUGCCUUAUGUGUGGCCCUAAACAG